CAUGCCGUAAACGUUGGAUACUAGGUGUUGGAGGUUUUCUACCCCUUCAGUGCCGCAGCUAACGCAUUAAGUAUCCCGCCUGGGGAGUACGACCGCAAGGUUGAAACUCAAAGGAAUUGACGGGGGCCCGCACAAGCGGUGGAGCAUGCGGUUUAAUUCGACGCAACGCGAAGAACCUUACCAGGGUUUGACAUCACCGUAAGGAUCCGUGGUUUCCUGGAAACAGGAGAUCUUAGGAAGACAGGUGU
rnacentral:rRNA from 1 species